rnacentral:tRNA from 1 species
AAAAAACCAUAUGGACCCCUAAUUGUUUAUCCUCUCCUUUUAUCCUUUUUUGUUAGCGGCUCAAAAUCCGUUAUCUUUCU